rnacentral:rRNA from 1 species
GAUGAACGCUGGCGGCGUGCCUAAUACAUGCAAGUCGAGCGAACAGACGAGGAGCUUGCUCCUCUGACGUUAGCGGCGGACGGGUGAGUAACACGUGGAUAACCUACCUAUAAGACUGGGAUAACUUCGGGAAACCGGAGCUAAUACCGGAUAAUAUAUUGAACCGCAUGGUUCAUUAGUGAAAGACGGUUUUGCUGUCACUUAUAGAUGGAUCCGCGCCGCAUUAGCUAGUUGGUAAGGUAACGGCUUACCAAGGCAACGAUGCGUAGCCGACCUGAGAGGGCGACCGGCCACACUGGAACUGAGACACGGCCCAGACUCCUACGGGAGGCAGCAGUAGGGAAUCUUCGGCAAUGGGCGAAAGCCUGACGGAGCAACGCCGCGUGAGUGAUGAAGGUCUUCGGAUCGUAAAACUCUGUUAUCAGGGACGAACAAAUGUGUAAGUAACUAUGCACGUCUUGACGGUACCUAAUCAGAAAGCCACGGCUAACUACGUG